AUUGAACGCUGGCGGCAUGCCUUACACAUGCAAGUCGAACGGCAGCACGGGAGCAAUCCUGGUGGCGAGUGGCGAACGGGUGAGUAAAGUAUCGGAACGUGCCCAGUCGUGGGGGAUCACGUAGCGAAAGUUACGCUAAUACCGCAUACGAUCUAUGGAUGAAAGCGGGGGAUCGCAAGACCUCGCGCGAUUGGAGCGGCCGAUAUCAGAUUAGGUAGUUGGUGGGGUAAAGGCUCACCAAGCCGACGAUCUGUAGCUGGUCUGAGAGGACGACCAGCCACACUGGGACUGAGACACGGCCCAGACUCCUACGGGAGGCAGCAGUGGGGAAUUUUGGACAAUGGGCGAAAGCCUGAUCCAGCCAUGCCGCGUGCAGGAUGAAGGCCUUCGGGUUGUAAACCGCUUUUGUACGGAACGAAAAGGUUUGGCCUAAUAAGCUGAGCUCAUAACGGUACCGUAAGAAUAAGCACCGGCUAACUACGUGCCAGCCGCCGCAGUAA
rnacentral:rRNA from 1 species